rnacentral:lncRNA from 1 species
UCAUGCAAGAAAUUCUCAUAAAUUGCAACACUGUGAGAGAGAUCACACUUCUGCGAUGCAGACACCAAACUCAGGAGGCAGUGGAUUCUGCACAGUGGCAGAUAACCUCGCAGUCAAGCUUUCCCUUUGUAAUCUCACGAGGUGAGCUGUCCUUGUCCUGGAAAACAAGGGGCCACAUUGGCCUUUGCAGGCCAUUCAAAACUCCAUCCUCUUCCUCAGCUUCUUUCAUCUUAUUUGCUUCAAGAAAAUUAUUUUAAGCCAAUGAGUUCCAGGAAGCAGCAGGACAAACAUUCACCUCUUUGCUCUGCCCAAAGCAGCCAUUUUAACCACAGGCGCUCCUCAGAUUCCACAGUGAAGACCAAAUUUAAUUGAUUUCCAGUAGCUCUUGAGGAUGAAUUUGUACCGCCAAGCAAUAGGAAUCGCUUCCUUUAAAACGGAACCCCACAUCUUCCUCUCCAAAAGAUGUUGUCUUGCUGCAGCAGUAAGAAAUGAAUAGACUUUUUACACAAUCUUUUAUUGGAAAAAAACACACUGGAUUACUAUACAAUAUAAUCGUGCAGCCAGAACUAAUGGAACUUCAGAGCCACGAGCCCCGAUUGUUGAGUUCUAGCAUUCCCGAGCAUAAUUAAAAGACUGCAGUAGUCCGUAUAAACAAACCCAUGUAAUUAUGUAAACUAUGUUAUAAUCUUGCGGAUGACAUGAGGCUAGUUUAUGCAGUUUCAGCCAAAUAGUCAUAAUAUUAACAAUACAGCUUGCAUGCAUUGUGUGAAUACCAUGUGCCCGGCACCGCAUUAACAUCUAUUCUUUGCUACAACCUUGAGGGUCCCAUUACCUCUGUUUUACAGAUGGACAAACUGAGCCUUGGUGAGGCUAAAUAAUCAGAUCUUUCUCUUUUUUUUUGUUUCCAGAGUUCUUCCUCACCCUCCACCAUUUCUCAACACCUUUUGUAUGUUGCUUCUCCUCUGAACUAACUCAGGAGACUUUAGUACUUUGCCAACAAUAUGCUAGCUACAUCCCUCAAGUUUUGAAAAGUACUUUUACGUUGAGACUGACUUGGAACAUAGGUUCUAACUUAAUCCAUGUUCUUUUGUUCUAAGCAUCUCAUGAUGGCAAUAACUGUCUCUGGUGGAUUCAGGUCUGGGAUCAGCCAGGAUUGGCUGAGCCCUUCCUGUAUCAUUUUUUGAGGAGAACUGAUUUUCUGUAGGCCAAUCCUUGGACAGAUGCAUCAAUCUAACUUCUAUCAACUUUACUCAUAAACACAAUCUGACGUUGUUAAAAGAAAAGCACAUGCAGGAGAAUCAUGUAGUUUAUUUUUUCCAAAACCUGGGAGGUAGCUAUUCUUCCCUGACUUUACCGAUGACAGCACAAUGUUGCACAGCCACACACCUACGACUUCUCUUCUCAACACUCAAAUGAGGGCUGCAAAACACCUGGUGUGCAAGCAGCCACUUCCGUGGUCUGUGCUCAUGUUAAACCUCACGCAUGGUAUUUGUCUUACGUUAGGUUCCCCCAGACACAGACCCUGAGAGGAAGAUUUGAGUGCAAAACAUUGAUUUGGGAGUCAAUCCCAUCAUAAGGGAAUGGGGAGUUAAGAUAAGGAACUGAAGGAAGCCAGUGCGUGGUGCACUAAUGAGCAGGUUAGCUCCACGGGCAGGUGGGGCUCAGGUCCACUGGGGACCUCUGCGAGGGCACAUGGAGCAUGCCUCAGAGUUGCCUUCCGCCAGGGUAUUUUCCACCAACUCCAGCCAGUCCUUGACUGUUUCCAGGGGUAUUACGGGCAAGGCACUUUCUGCCUGCCUGGCCCACACUAACUGCCAGCUCUAGAGGCCAUAGGAAGUCCCUAAGCAAGGCGUUGCAGUUGAAGUCUGUGAGCACUGAGCCACGGAGUGCUGGGGGAUGCAGGUAGGCGCUCUGACAGGGUUGCGUUGCAGUUGAAGUCUGUGAGCACUGAGCCACUGAGUGCUGGGGGAUGCGGGUAGGCGCUCUGACAGGGUUGCGUUGCAGUUGGAAUCUGUGAGCACUGAGCCACUGAGUGCUGGGGGAUGCGGGUAGGCGCUCUGACAGGGUUGGCUGCUGUGUUCUCUGCUGCUCCUCCGGCCCUCCAGGCAGCCACCACCUCUCUGCUGGAAUUGGGAAACAAACGGAAACCCGUCG